rnacentral:rRNA from 1 species
UUAUGGCUCAGGAUGAACGCUGGCGGCGUGCUUAACACAUGCAAGUCGAACGGAGUUUUUAAACGGAAGUCCUCGGAUGGAAGUUUAGAAACUUAGUGGCGGACGGGUGAGUAACGCGUGGGUAACCUGCCUCAUACAGGGGGAUAACAGUCGGAAACGAUUGCUAAAACCGCAUAACAUAGCGAAACCGCAUGAUUUUGCUAUCAAAUAUUUAUAGGUAUGAGAUGGGCCCGCGUCUGAUUUAGCUAGUUGGUGGGGUAAUGGCCUACCAAGGCGACGAUCAGUAGCCGGCUUGAGAGAGUGACCGGCCACAUUGGGACUGAGACACGGCCCAAACUCCUACGGGAGGCAGCAGUGGGGAAUAUUGGACAAUGGGGGAAACCCUGAUCCAGCGAACCGCCGCGUGAGUGAAGAAGUAUUUCGGUAUGUAAAGCUCUAUCAGCAGGGAAGAUAAUGACAGUACCUGACUAAGAAGCCCCGGCUAACUACGUGCCAGCCGCUGC